GGAGAGGUCAUCUUGUAGGAACCAGGCUGGUUUUCCCUUGUGAUAUGACAGUAAUUAACACAUUGAUUAACAGAUUAACAAUUUAUCAGCGGAGACAAUAAUGAGUGAGACCACACCUUGACAUCUCACCCCAGAGAGGGCAAUUAGCCAUGGUGCUGAGUUUACACCCUGGAGCAAAUAGACUGAUUUCCUCAAGGAAUAACUAUAAUAGGACUUCCUCUGUCAUCUUGAAGAACCAGAAUGAGACAAUGAUCAACCCGACCACACCUUAUCCAAGACUAGAAACCAAAGGAAAUGAAGUUUUGGAAGAAAAGAACUCUGCUGAGAUUGUUGGCUGUUUUCUUUCCCAGAUCUCCCGUAGUUGUGCUGUUUUUAAAUUCAGUAAGUGUCGGAGAAUGACCUCAAACUCCUGAUCCUCUUGUCUUCACCUCCCAAAUGUUGAGUUUGCAGCCAUGUGCUACCAUGCAUGGCCUCUGUGACUGGUUUUAAGUACUGAGUGUCUGUAAACGCUGUUCCAAAUAAUAGCAGCAGUUAAGGUGGACUGGAAGACUGACAUCUGGGUGCUGAGAUCUCAGACACAUGAAGAGAGGUGGCAGCUGUUGACAGCAACAAGAAGGGGAAAGUGUGACCCAGCCGGGUGGCCUGAGUUCCAACGGAAAGGGAAUUUUCACCAGAGGAAAGAGACUUCACAUCUGGAAGUACCAAAAUGGAGUGGGUGGUGAGUGUAGAGUUUGAGCUGAGAGCUGACUGGAAAGGGAUUUCUGGCAGAGGACUUAGACAACCACGGAACGACUUUUGGAAGAAGAAGGUGCUCAUGUUGCCUAACACUGCCGUCUGAAAGGUUUUUGUUUUUUAAACAAUAAAUAACUUUGGGGGAAGGUAUUUUUAUUGUAAAGAUAUCUUCUCAUUUUAAAUUUGUUAACAAAUUCCCGCACUUGGGAUAUAGUGUCUCUCUCUGAGUUUGAGGCCACUCUGGUCUACAGAGUUAGUUCUAGGCCAGUCAGGACUAUAUAGUGAGCCCCCCUCCCUCUCUAUCUCUCUCUUUCUCUCUUUCUGUCUUCCUCCCUCCCUCUCCCUCUCUCUCUCUCUCUCUUACUCCUCCCCACAAAACACACACACAAAAUUGAUAAUGAAAAUACACUAUAAUUUAAUAAACUUGGUUUUCAUUUGGCAUGAUGAAAAGAUUCUGGUAUCUGAUGUAUGGCAAUUGCACAACAUUGUGAGUGUUAUAAAGGACAUCAAAUUGCAGUCUGAAAAGUGGUCAAAGUGAGGCUUCCUCUGCUCGGCUUGCUGUGAUAAAUGCAUAACUGAGUGGUUUAGAAAUGAUGGAAAUGUGGGGCUGGGACGAUGGCCGAGUUGGUAAAGCGCUUGCCACACAAGCAUUCCCAGAACACACGGGGAAAAAGCCUUGGCAAAGCCAGGCAUGCUUGUUAUCUCAGUGCCAGUGAGUUGGAGACAGGCAGAUCACAGAGCAUAGUGACUAGGCUACCUAGCCUACUUGCUGAGUUUCAGGCCAGUUAGAGACCCUGUCUGUAAACAAAAAAAGAAAACCAAACAACAACAACCACAACAAAAAAAGGAGGAUAGUGGCCAAAGUUGAUCCUUGGCUUCAGCAUACACAAAUACGUGUUCAUGUUCACCCAAAUACAAAACACGUAUGCACACACAAACACAAUCACCCCAAGUCAAUGAAACAACCAACAAAAACAAUAGACAUGUACUUCACACUGUUCUGAAGGCUGGCAAGGCCAGGUUUUUGACACUCUAGUAGAGAUUCAGUGUCUGUUGAGAAUUAAUUUCCUACCUUUUUGUGUGUCUCUAUGUGACACAAGGUUCA
ensembl:lncRNA